UUUAACCUAGUGGCGGACGGGUGAGGAACACGUAAGAACCUACCCCUAGGAGGGGGACAACAACUGGAAACGGUUGCUAAUACCCCAUAUGCUGAGGAGCGAAACGGUGAAAACCGCCUAGGGACGGGCUUGCGUCUGAUUAGCUUGUUGGUGAGGUAAAUGCUUACCAAUGCAAUGAUCAGUAGCUGGUCUGAGAGGAUGAUCAGCCACACUGGGACUGAGACACGGCCCAGACUCCUACGGGAGGCAGCAGUGAGGAAUUUUCCGCAAUGGGCGAAAGCCUGACGGAGCAAUGCCGCGUGGAGGAUGAAAGCCUGUGGGUCGUAAACUCCUUUUCUCAGAGAAGAAGAUCUGACGGUAUCUGAGGAAUAAGCAUCGGCUAACUCCGUGCCAGCAGCCGCGGUAAUACGGAGGAUGCAAGCGUUAUCCGGAAUGAUUGGGCGUAAAGCGUCUGUAGGUGGUUUCAUAAGUCCACUGUCAAAGGAUCAGGGCUUAACCCUGGGCAGGCAGUGGAAACUAUGAGGCUUGAGUACGGUAGGGGCAGAGGGAAUUCCCGGUGUAGCGGUGAAAUGCGUAGAGAUCGCGAAUAACACCAAUGGCGAAAGCACUCUGCUGGGCCGAAACUGACACUGAGAGACGAGAGCUAGGGGGAUCAAAUGGGAUUAAGUAUGCCCCAGUAGUCCUUAGCCGUAAACGAUGUAUACUAAGUGCUGUCCGAUUCAAACCGUCCAGUACUGUAGCUAACGCGUGAAGUAUCCCGCCUGGUGAGUAUGCUCGCUAAGAGUGAAACUUCAAAGGAAUUGACGGGGGCCCGCACAAGCGGUGGAGCAUGUGGUUUAAUUCGAUGCAACGCGAAGAACCUUACCAGGGCUUGACAUGCCACUUUUUCUCUUGAAAAAGAGAAGUUAAUUGGUGGAACACAGGUGGUGCAUGGCUGUCGUCAGCUCGUGUCGUGAG
rnacentral:rRNA from 1 species